rnacentral:rRNA from 1 species
AUUGAACGCUGGCGGAAUGCUUUACACAUGCAAGUCGAACGGCAGCACGGGGGCAACCCUGGUGGCGAGUGGCGAACGGGUGAGUAAUGUAUCGGAACGUACCCAGUCGUGGGGGAUAACUAUCCGAAAGGAUAGCUAAUACCGCAUACGCUACGGGGGAAAGCAGGGGAUCUUCGGACCUUGCGUUAAUCGAUGAGCCUAGGUCGGAUUAGCUAGUUGGUGAGGUAAAGGCUCACCAAGGCGACGAUCUGUAGCGGGUCUGAGAGGAUGAUCCGCCACACUGGAACUGAGACACGGUCCAGACCCUACGGGAGGCAGCAGUGGGGAAUAUUGGGCAAUGGGGGCAACCCUGAUCCAGCCAUGCCGCGUGUGUGAAGAAGGCCUUUUGGUUGUAAAGCACUUUAAGCGAGGAGGAGGGUACCCUGAUUAAUACUCAGGAAUAUCGGACGUUACUCGCAGAAUAAGCACCGGCUAACUCUGUGC